UACGUAGGGUGCAGGCGUUAAUCGGAAUUACUGGGCGUAAAGCGUGCGCAGGCGGUUUCCUAAGACAGGUGUGAAAUCCCCGGGCUUAACCUGGGAACUGCGCUUGUUACUGGCAGGCUUGAGUGUGGCAGAGGGGGGUGGAAUUCCACGUGUAGCAGUGAAAUGCGUAGAGAUGUGGAGGAACACCGAUGGCGAAGGCAGCCCCCUGGGCUAACACUGACGCUCAUGCACGAAAGCGUGGGGAGCAAACAGG
rnacentral:rRNA from 1 species